GGAGCGGUAGUUCGGUUGGUCAGAAUACCCACCGAUUACGCGGGGGUCGCGGGUUCGAGCCCUCGUCCGCUCCGCCA
rnacentral:tRNA from 2 species